rnacentral:lncRNA from 1 species
AAGUCCAACAGAAAUCAUCAAAAUGUCAAGCUGAAAUUCAGCACUCUGCAAAUGCUGACCAAAGUCCUGCCCGAGGAGCAGCGGAUGCAGUAGAUUGUGCUGACUCAGUGAAGUCAUAGGUCUUGAGUAUCUUCAGCACCUCUGUUGUUUGAACUGGGUGGCCUCCCUUGAUGAACUCAAAGCAUUGUGAAAAAUCAAGCUUGUCCCUCAUCCCUGAUCUGUGACUCCACAGUGUCUAUGCAUAUGCCUGAAUCUUGAUAUCUUUGCAGGAUGUCAGUUCACAGCAAGUUAGAUGUGCUCUAGUCAUCUAAGAAGGCAGCUGAGUUUCUUGGCACUGCCUCCUCUUCCUCUCCAUAACCAUUCAAGGUCAGACCCAGGAAUCUAUUCCCUGCCAUGUGGGACAUGUGGAGAGGCCGCAAUCUUCACCAACUCCUUAUCUCUGUCCUCUUGGCCCCAGACACAGAACUAGCUGUUAUACUCCUUUGGCAAUACUCCCUGAUCUCAUGUCCAUCUGUCAGAAGUCACAGCAGAGAGAUAGAAAGACAAAUGGGCCAUAACAGAAAAAACUUCUUUCUUCCCAGAAUGUCAAGCCU